AGUGAACGCUGGCGGUAGGCCUAACACAUGCAAGUCGAACGGCAGCACAGUAAGAGCUUGCUCUUACGGGUGGCGAGUGGCGGACGGGUGAGGAAUACAUCGGAAUCUACUUUUUCGUGGGGGAUAACGUAGGGAAACUUACGCUAAUACCGCAUACGACGUACGGGUGAAAGCAGGGGUUCUUCGGACUUUGCGCGAUUGAAUGAGCCGGUGUCGGAUUAGCUAGUUGGCGGGGUAAAGGCCCACCAAGGCGACGAUCCGUAGCUGGUCUGAGAGGGUGAUCAGCCACACUGGAACUGAGACACGGUCCAGACUCCUACGGGAGGCAGCAGUAGGGAAUAUUGGGCAAUGGGCGAAAGCCUGAUCCAGCCAUGCCGCGUGAGUGAAGAAGGCCUUCGGAUUGUAAAGCCCUUUUAUUGGGGAAGAAAAGCAGCAGGUGAAUACCCCGCUGUUCUGACGGUACCCAAAGAAUAAGCACCGGCUAACUUCGUG
rnacentral:rRNA from 1 species